UACGUAGGUGGCAAGCGUUGUCCGGAUUUAUUGGGUUUAAAGGGUGCGUAGGCGGCCCUGUAAGUCAGUGCUGAAAUAUCCCAGCUUAACUGGGAGGGUGGCAUUGAUACUGCGGGGCUAGAGUACAGAUGAGGUAGGCGGAAUUGACGGUGUAGCGGUGAAAUGCUUAGAUAUCGUCAAGAACACCUAUAGCGAAGGCAGCUUACUAGGCUGUAACUGACGCUGAGACGCGAAAGCGUGGGGAGCGAACAGG
rnacentral:rRNA from 1 species